rnacentral:rRNA from 1 species
GAUCCUGGCUCAGGACGAACGCUGGCGGUGUGCUUAAUACAUGCAAGUCGAGCGGACUUGCGGGGGCUUGCUCCUGCAAGUUAGCGGCGGACGGGUGAGUAACGCGCGAGCAACCUGCCUAUAUCUGGGGAAUAACACAGAGAAAUUUGUGCUAAUACCGCAUAUGACCACAGUGGGGCAUCCCACAGGGGUGAAAGAUUUUAUCGGAUAUAGAUGGGCUCACGUACCAUUAG